UGCAUCAGAUCCCACUAAGUAGGAUCAGAACUGGUCAGCAUUUGGAUGAAACUAUCAGGUUUCAAUAUGUGACAGGCUUCAACUUCCAUGGGCUACAAUCUGAUCAUGACUAGCUGGGUCUGUUUGAUUCUAUAUAGCUCUGAGGGCUUCAAUCAGUCUUCUAUUAAAGGAAGGGUUGAAGGACAACAUGCUUAUAUGUUCAUCAAGGCUACAUAUGAUGGCAUCACCUGCUUCAGACUGUGCUUUUGUCCACACAGAUUUUGUAUAAUAUUUUAUAAGAUCCCGAAGAGAAGCAAUUACACUUGCAAAGUUAGGAAGGCAGCAUGAUCAAUAACUAUUCAUGCCUAAAAUGACUUGAUAUCUGCAAUUGUUCAGUAAGACUAUUUGCUUUAUUGUUUAGACUUUCGAAGGAUAUGAGAUUACUCUUGUUUGAAAAUACAUGUCCAAAGACUUUUAA